rnacentral:rRNA from 1 species
UUAUAGCAAAGAGGAUACACCUGUUCCCAUUCCGAACACAGAAGUUAAGCUCUUUAGCGCCGAUGGUACUUGGUGGGAAGCUGCCUGGGAGAGUAGGACGUAGCCGCGU